rnacentral:rRNA from 1 species
UGGGGAAUAUUGCACAAUGGGCGCAAGCCUGAUGCAGCCAUGCCGCGUGUAUGAAGAAGGCCUUCGGGUUGUAAAGUACUUUCAGCGGGGAGGAAGGGAGUAAAGUUAAUACCUUUACUCAUUGACGUUACCCGCAGAAGAAGCACCGGCUAACUCUGUGCCAGCAGCCGCGGUAAUACGGAGGGUGCAAGCGUUAAUCGGAAUUACUGGGCGUAAAGCGCACGCAGGCGGUUUGUUAAGUCAGAUGUGAAAUCCCCGGGCUCAACCUGGGAACUGCAUCUGAUACUGGCAAGCUUGAGUCUCGUAGAGGGGGGUAGAAUUCCAGGUGUAGCGGUGAAAUGCGUAGAGAUCUGGAGGAAUAACGGUGGCGAAGGCGGCCCCCUGGACGAAGACUGACGCUCAGGUGCGAAAGCGUGGGGAGCAAACAGG